AGGAAUAGACGGGGACUCGCACAAGCGGUGGAGCAUGUGGUUCAAUUCGAUGGUAAACGAAAAACCUCACCAGGGCUUGAAAUUCCGACGAUAAGUCCCGUGAAAGCGGGAUGUCUCACAAGGACGUCGGAACAGGUGCUGCAUGGCUGUCGUCAGUUCGUGGCUUGAGCUGUUCCCUUAAGUGGGGUAACGAACGCAACCCCUGCCCCGUGUUAUACGUGUCACGGGGGACUACUCUGAUUUUCGGAGGGGAAGGUGGGGAUGACGCCAAGUCAGCAUGGCCCUCUGAUGCCCUGGGCUACACACGUGCUACAAUGGGACGUACAAUGGGCCGCAAUACCGAGAGGUGGAGCUAAUCCCUUAAAACGUCCCCCAGUUCAGAUUGAGGUCUGCAACUCGACCUCAUGAAGACGGAAUCGCUAGUAAUCGCAGGUCAGCUAUACUGCGGUGAAUACGUUCUCGAGUCUUGUACUCAC
rnacentral:rRNA from 1 species